CAUUCCAUGGUCUUCCUUAUCUUCUAGGGAAGAGCACAUUCUUUUUCAGAUUUGUGAGAAAGGACUCAGGGGCAUUCUUUUGAGGCAGUCUACUACUCAGUAAGCUUGAAUCCUAAUGUCUGACUUAAUGUGUGAAUGGCUACAGAAUUUUUAACUGGAAGAUGGCUACCAGUGCUUUUAGGUAUUUGGCUGGUCUGCUGCUUCCUCCCAGCAAUGCCUAUUCUCAUGGCCAAGGAACCACAGCUGCUAGCCUAUGGAGAUGUCUCUGGUACACUUUACAGAGCAUUGUCCAGUCUCCAGCAAUCACAGAGACCUUCACUUAAAACAGGUGCCUGGCAAGUGACUGGAGUUCCCUCCCUUCCCAGGAGUUGCAGUGAGGCCUUCUACUUUAUAUCCAUAUCAUGAGCUAUGGAAUUUUCCUGUCACAGUAUGGAAGCUAAAGACACAGUUUGGGCUCAGGGUUUGUAUCUGAGAACUGCCAUUGAAAGUUAUUAAAUAAAGAACACUAAAUUAGUAAACCUGACUGAGUCUCUUACUUGUCAAAGAUAAUAUGGAAAUUUAAUUGGUCUGGUUUUGGCAUUUUAUGACGAUUUUACCUACAAAAUAACUGUCUGAGGUGGGCAUGGUUGUUCUAAUUGGUGGAUCUGUCGUAGCAGAGGCAGGGGAUCUACAUGAAAAUAGAAAGCAAGUGAGUGGAUACGUGCAUAGUAUAGCACCUCAUGUCUUCAGAAGAGGCAGAGGGCCAAGUUAGGCAUUUGAGGUAAGGUCUCCAACCACUGGGCAAUCCUGCUGGAACCCACACUGUGCCUAAGUUCUGAUCUACUUCCUCAUUACGUAAGCCAGGCCCCUACAGUUGUCUUGAAAAAUCCGUUUCCUGCCUGGAUUUUGCCAGAGCCAUUUCAGGGAUAGGGUGGAGCUGACCAACUCUGUGCUGUGUGACUGUUGACUCUGAACACUGCAGGGUGAGCUAUGUCAUUGCUGCACUCCUGAGUCCUGCAAGUGUAAGUUCAAGACUGACUAUAUAACCUGGAAGGCCCCAUGCAAAAUGGAACCGCAGAUCUUCUUGAUCUAAAAAUAUAAGCUUCAGGACAGAGGUAACAGAGUUAAGUCAUGCCAAACACCCUCCCGCAUGCUAUAUUGCCUGGUGAAGAUGAACUUCGGUUUAGCCCAUCCAGUUGAAAUAGUUCACUUUCUUCCUUACAGCAAUUUUCUGAGCAGCAUGAUUUAGGUUGAAAGACCUGGUAUGAAACAAAAUGCCAAAGAUCCUUCUUAACUUGUCUGAUUCUGCAAUAUAUUGGUUGCUUUCUUGCCUAUGUGACAGAAGCAACUUAAUGACAGAUUGCAAGGUAGUCUGUCACUGUGAGGGAGACAGGGUGGCUGAGAGGUUCUAUCUGUGGUGGUCAUGGUUGUGGGCAGAUUGUUUUUAGACUGGAAAGCCAGGAAAAAAGAAUUUCAGUGAAAGCAAAGAGAAUCCAUAAUCCCCAAAGCCCCAAUCUCAUGACAGAGCCAUGCCUCACAGCCUCCCCAAAUGGUGCCAAAAAUUGGGGAUCAAAGAAGUAGGAGCUCUAAACACACGAGAAUUAGACCAUCAGUGGAGUGCAGGCCUCCUUCAGGGACAAAUUGUUUGACUGGAAUGUAUUGAAGAGUGAACCAAACACAAAAGUGAAGAUAAAUCUGCAGUUAGAAGAGAGAAAGAGAAAGAGAGAGAGAGAGAGAGAGAGAGAGAGAGAGAGAGAGAGGUGGUUGAA
rnacentral:sRNA from 1 species